GCCGAAUCUCAUUUUGGUCAGGCAGAAAACAGCUCAGCUCCCCAGCGCCAGCAGUUUUAUCAGCCAGCACUUCAGCCAUCAAUGUCCUAGCUCUUCAGAUUGGAUGAAGGCGAGGUGGCUAGAUGCAUAAGGGUACCUGAAAUGAAGCAGCUUCAAGGGAGCAGAGGAUGAAGAGCAGAUCUCCAAGCAUUAGAGGAGCAAAGCAGCAAGCCUCCCCACUCAAGAGCAUUAUUUCAAGCUCCAGCUCCUGGAACAGAAUAGCAUUACCAUGCACCCAAAGACCUCAAGCUGCUGGUAAGCUAUUGCUGGUGGCCAGAGAUGUUAGAUACUCACAAGCAUGUUCUCUUCUCCUGCAGACAUUUGAAAUCUACCACUUCUGUUUCCACCUCAAGCUUACCACAGACAGAAGGGGAACCACACCACUCUGAGCAGCAGCAGCAGCUUAAAUCCUUGGUCUCGCACGGGGAGCCCCUACAAGAAGGAGGCAGCGCUUAAUAAGAUUAGCAAAUGUUUAAGUCUGAGCAAAUAAAGAUAGCAAG
ensembl:lncRNA